UCCGCACGUUGUUAGAACUUGGAGCUGAGGCCCCUGGUUUCCCGAUGCAUUCACAGGUGUAGGUAGUGUGCUGUGGGAGGGGAGUGUUUUCUCUAACACUGCAAGGGUCUCUGGCCCAAUGAGUGGAGUUUGAUAGUAAUGCUUGCUACAAGU
ensembl:snoRNA SNORA62 Small nucleolar RNA SNORA62/SNORA6 family